CCCGCCCCCACGGUGAUCCUCCCAUGGCCCCGCCCUGCCCCGGCCACGCUAAUUGGUUUCUUUCUGCGGAGCUUCCUGAGCUCCGAUUGGCUGUACUCGUCGCCUUUCCGCUGUUCGAUUGGUCCGCGGGGCCCGCUUUCUCGAGGACCUGCUCCUCGACGGGGCGGGGCCAGCGGCGGCGCGCGGAGCAGGAUUGGUCAGCGACUCAGAGGGGGCGGGCCCACGCCGCGCGCAGUGCCUCGCCAGAAGCGCCAGGAGCAGCUACUGCCGCCUCAGUCGCCUCAGUCGCUUCAGGCUUGGUCGCCUCAGGCUCAGGCACCACCGGGAUCUUCAGUCCUCACCCCCAGCCCCGCCCCGGCCGCCCUCCCGUGGGCCGGCCCGCGGGCACGCCCUCUGCCGCGGGACAGGGCUGCCUACAGAGGGAAGCUCCUCACAUGGUUCCAUGGAGACGGGACACGGAACGCAGUCACUUGAAGUGCUGUGAAGGCCAGGAGCCCCACCCUUGCCCGUGCCCUCCGAGGGAGCAUCCCGCCCCCGCCAAGAGAGUGCACACAUCCCAGAGCGGCCAGCGCCCUUGCAGGGUCUCCGGCCAGAUGGACAGUGUCCUUGCCCACGGGGAAGCAGGCGGGCUGGCAGGACAGGCGUCCCCAGGCCGGGAGGAGGAGCCGCUCGCAGGGUGGUUUGUAGAGAACUGAGAAGGAACCCUGGUUCCUGCAGCGAUGCGGUCGGGCUGCGUGCUGCUGCCCCUCCUGAGCCACACAGAAUGGCCACUCUGUCACUGGCCUAGGAGCAGAGUGAAGGAGAUGAGAUGCUUCAGAAUCGGAACUGAUUUCAGGAACAAUUUUAGAUGAGGCUGGGAGGGUAGGGCUGCUGUCCCGGAGUCUGCAGAGUUGCUGGGCAGACAGCUCAGAUCUGCCGUCUGCACCCGGUCUGGCUCUGGGAGGGGUCGCAUCCAUCAGCAGACACACUGAUGGGCUCUGUCCCUAGAGACAGCGUCAGAGGUAGAUGCCGCCUAAGCAGUCCGGAGGUGACGUGCUCCAUGCCUAGGGAAGGGGAGGGCGAGGGACAAGGAAGUGCGCGUGCUCCCCAGCAGGGCCCACCAGGGACCCACAGGAGUGUCGGGGUUGCCUCACUGAGGUGACAUUUAAGAAAGGGUGAGGGGGCGAGUCAUGGAUGGAAAGGCAGAGGGAACAGCCAGUGCGAAGGUUGUAGGCGAGGAGGCUGGAGAGCAGCUGGAGGCCCGUGUGGCCGGAGUGGUGGGAAGGUGGGGCACUGGGGCCAGAUAGCAGCUUCCACUCGGGGUGGGGUCCCAGGUAAACCUUUAGAGCCGAGCAGACUCCAGCCUUCCUGUGGGUGGGGAAGGAGAACUGGGCUUCACCCAGGUGGUCUGGACAGACACAGGUGGAAAGCGGGUGCACGUGCAGGAGAAGAGAGGGGAAGAGCCGGGCAGGAGAACAGGGGCUUUGAUGACUGGCUGCAGUGGGCAGAGGGGGAGCAAGGGGGAGCCCAGGGGAGUGUUGUCGAUGAGCGAAAACAGGACUGGUUCUGUGAGGGCGGCAGGUGGGCUGAGGGGCCACGCAGUCAUGAAGCAGCCAUAGAUGUGCUGGACAGCAGGUCUGUCCCAGGAAGCUGAGGGGGUACCCGGGAGCUGAGAAGAUGGGGAAGUCCUGUGAGAUGCGUGUGGUCCUCGUGAACUGCCAGUGGUCGGUCGCCCACUGGUGACGCACAGGACAGGACGCCCUCAUGUGGACCAGCUUACGGUUGAACUUCUUCCGGCCUAUGGGCACGGUGCAGGGACGUUCUGGGGGCCUUUCUGGGCCAGGGGAGGGCAGGGUGGGGGGCCCUAGGCUCCAUGCCAUCUGUGGUGUGAGAAGAAGCGGCAACCUGGGGAGAGGCAUGGCACUGUGGGGCUCUGGGCUGUGGCUCUCGCCAGGCGGGAGGAGGAAGCAAGUGAGGACAGAAGGAGCCAAGCACAGGCGUGCAGAGCCAGCCGAAGUGGCUGCUCCACAGGUGGGCCGGGAGGGGCCUUCCUGAAGGGAGGGCUGGGACAGCAAAGGUGGGCGGUGACCGUGGUUGACUUUCUCUUCAAGUUGGUGGCAGUUGUAAAUUGAUCUCCAUCAAAGUAGAAUAUAACUUAGAAAUAUUUAAAAAAUACAACCGCCUUUUCCAGUUAGAGAACAGUACUUGGUUUCUAUGGUAACUGCCAACCAUUUAACUAGGGCAAGUGUUACGUGGUGACAUGGGGUAAUUACAGACAACAGGGAAAUUGCAGGGUAAGACUUACAUAAAUACAGAGUGGCUGCAUGGUUAGCUUCUGCUGCUGAAGGGAGGCUGUGGCCGUUUCUGGCUGUCUGUCUGCUCCAGAGCCUGCCCUCGGGCUGGGCGGUCACCUUGGGGCAGGGCCUCUCUCUGUUCAGCCUAUUGCGUGUGAGUCCCACUGUCCUCCCUGCUCCACACUGGGACCUCAGGCAGGUCAUCCCCAGGCCCACUUGACCUGUGCCUCUGUGAGGCUUUCCCCAGGUCAGGCUGGAGGCAGAUGGAAGCCGUACAUUGGCUCGAGGCUGUGGCCAUUGACAUUAACGUANNNNNNNNNNNNNNNNNNNNNNNNNNNNNNNNNNNNNNNNNNNNNNNNNNNNNNNNNNNNNNNNNNNNNNNNNNNNNNNNNNNNNNNNNNNNNNNNNNNACAUUGGCUCGAGGCUGUGGCCAUUGACAUUAACGUAUCAACCAGAACUUAAGAAGGGUGUUUCUGGGCUUUUUUUUUUUUUUAAUCAAUUGACUAUGAAACAACCCCUAAAUAGGGUAAAAAGACAGAAAAAUCAGAGCACAAAUCCAUCUCUCACAGAUUGGAACAGUAUGGUCAGAACACUCAUCUACUGUCCCCCCAUCAGGAUCCUCCAAAGACAGAGAGUUUAAGAUUGCAGAGUCCAUGCUGUCCCAGAAACAGGGGGCACAGAGUCAGAAGCUCAGACUUCAGGUUAAUUACCAAGAGACAGAAGCAAAUAACAUUUGCGAAUGAAAACAUUACAGGAGAUGUGUGGCGAGCCUACUGCAGGUAAGUAUUCGAAUGCGGACACUCACAGAACCAGUAUCCUUGCAGGCAAGUCAGGUCUCUCAAAAGCAGACUGUGGGCAGAGCCGAGAACUGUCACCCACUUGAGAACCACAGAGCAGGGGAGAGAAGUACCAAGUGCAAUGAAAGAACAUGUUCCAGGGAGGACCUAAUGGCAUGAGGACAAGAGUGUUCAUAAAAGAAACAGCUCCUUCAAAAGAGACAGGCAAAGAUUUUGGAAAGAAAAGUUAUGAAAAUGAAAAAAUCUUGAUGGUUAAAAUUGCAGAACAGACAGAAAUGAAGAAGAAGUUAGUAACUGGACAAAUGAACCAAGGAUGGUUCUAGAAGGCAGGCCUAAAGCACCCAGAGCUGUCUCAGAUGCAGGUCUCAAGGACUGAGAGGUGGAGAGUGUAAGAGAAGAGGAGCAGCCCAUGGGGAGUUUGAGAAGCUCGAUGGUUAUCAGGAAUAUUCUGAAAAGGAGAGUGGAGAAGAUUGAAAGAGGGUGACGAACGCGUCUCGGAAGAGGCCUGUCAGGGCACAGAGCAUGUCAGGGAUGAAAUGUUGGGCGAGAUGGGGUGGGCAGAGAAACCAUAAGGACUGGGAGGCAGUGGGAUGGAAGUUUAGGAUAGGACCGAAGAGAAACCCCAAAGUGGUCAGCAAGAGGAGCAAAGCUCUCACUAUCAAUUGACAUAAAAUUCUGUAUAACACAUGAGUAUUUUAGAAUUAAUUGGAUCAAUAUCUUCAAAGUACUUGGGGAGAAAAGAUUCCAAACCUGGAAUUUGAGACACAGCCAUAANNNNNNNNNNNNNNNNNNNNNNNNNNNNNNNNNNNNNNNNNNNNNNNNNNNNNNNNNNNNNNNNNNNNNNNNNNNNNNNNNNNNNNNNNNNNNNNNNNNUUGGGGAGAAAAGAUUCCAAACCUGGAAUUUGAGACACAGCCAUAAUCCAUGUUGAAGGACAAAGGAAGGGUGCUGUCAGACAGUCAAGGACUCAGAGGUUUCCAGGCUCACCCUAAGACUGACAAAACGAGGGAGACAGCCAUCCACAGAGAGGGUGGCGUUUGGUCCCACUGACAAUGGCGGGAAGGAAUCCUGGGCAGUAGGCAGCUACUCUGUAUAAUCAUCGACGCCUGUUGGUUUGCAAAUUAAAGUGAUAGUUGAAAAAUCUUGGUAGCUUCCAGUGUUUAUUGUCCCUGGUUGUUCAGCAGUUACUUGUGAUUUGGUGUUCUCCUAAGAAGUGAACUCAUGUCUCUCUACUCCACCGUCUUGUCUCCAUACUACAAGCCAAAAAAAAAUCUUACGUAUAUGUAUUUAUAUAGUG
ensembl:lncRNA